GUCAUCUUAGCUCAGCGGCAGAGCGCAUGGCUUUUAACCACAUGGUUGUGGGUUUGAUCCCCACAAAAGGCG